UAAAGAGUAACGGAGGAGCACGAAGGUUGGCUAAUCCUGGUCGGACAUCAGGAGGUUAGUGCAAUGGCAUAAGCCAGCUUGACUGCGAGCGUGACGGCGCGAGCAGGUGCGAAAGCAGGUCAUAGUGAUCCGGUGGUUCUGAAUGGAAGGGCCAUCGCUCAACGGAUAAAAGGUACUCCGGGGAUAACAGGCUGAUACCGCCCAAGAGUUCAUAUCGACGGCGGUGUUUGGCACCUCGAUGUCGGCUCAUCACAUCCUGGGGCUGAAGUAGGUCCCAAGGGUAUGGCUGUUCGCCAUUUAAAGUGGUACGCGAGCUGGGUUUAGAACGUCGUGAGACAGUUCGGUCCCUAUCUGCCGUGGGCGCUGGAGAACUGAGGGGGGCUGCUCCUAGUACGAGAGGACCGGAGUGGACGCAUCACUGGUGUUCGGGUUGUCAUGCCAAUGGCACUGCCCGGUAGCUAAAUGCGGAAGAGAUAAGUGCUGAAAGCAUCUAAGCACGAAACUUGCCCCGA
rnacentral:rRNA from 5 species